UCAUGUAAAAGCUGCUAAAAGUUUAGCAUUUUUACAUUUAAGAUAGACCAGUGGAUUACUAGUAUAUUGAUUGGAUAUACUGCUGGAAAAUUAGAUAAUUACUAUAAUAGUCUACUAACCUAAUGUGUGAUUACCCCUGUGGAGGGGCCUGCAUCCUAUUAGCUUGUUGGUGGGGUAACGGCCUUCCUAGGCAACGAUGGGUGUGUGGGUGUGAGAGCAUGACCCGCGUCAUUGGGACUGACACACUGCCCAGACACCUACGGGUGGCUUCUGUCAAUAAUCUUCGGCACUGGGCGAUAGCAUGACCGAUCGACUGCCACUGUGGGAAUAAUGCCCUCAGGUUAUAAACCGCUGUCGUCUAAGAGGAAGUGCAGGGGGGUUCCUCCUCUUUGCUUGGCCCUAUUCUAAGGAGGAGGUACGGGACUAUGUUUUUGCCAGACACCCGCGGAUAAGACGACCCCGACACAAGCUUACUCUGAAAUUUCUGGGGCUUAAUGGGUGGCUUUAAGCUUGGGCCGAAAAAAUUUGGAUGUAAAAAGCCCUUCGGCUUACAUCGAGAAAAUUUGCGAUUCAAAACAACACUUGCUCCAAGGGGAAAAAUAAGGAACACCGGACAAUAAGGGUGGAACAGGAGAAAUGCGUUGAAAUUCUUGGAAAAACCCGGUGG
rnacentral:rRNA from 1 species